AUGGCGCAAUUUGUUAACUCCUACACCUCAAGUUUCUGAUUGUUUCACAAAGAAAAUUAUCUGUGUGUUCAGCAUUUCUGCAUCGACAUUCCACCAACGAUCGCCAAUCUCACGUGGCGCCGCACAAAUUUGCCGCUAGGUGCGCAACACCAGAGUAGUUCGCAGUUACAAUUGUAUUUCGGUAUUCAAAACCACUCCAACGAAUGUCGAGCUAGCGUGGUGCCGCACAUUUUUGCCGCCAGGCGCUCAACACAAAAGUUUCGUCAAUUCAAUCGAGUUUCGGGAACCAAACUUCAUUCAUCACGAUCCGUAUCACACGGCCUGGAAUCGCAUAUUCCGGAAACGGUGGCGCCACACGCCAACCCCAGUUUUAGUUACCCCACGCCUCCGGUAGGAGCGCCCAUCAAGAAUAAGCUCGCAACCACAAUCAUGGCCGCAGUCAUCGCUGCCGCAGCAGCAGCCGCAGCAGCAGCAGCCGCAGCCAAUGCAGCUCCGCAACAACCAAUAGUGAAUCCACCCAGAGCAUUUAAGCCGUAUGGGUCACCACCACCCUUCGA
rnacentral:lncRNA from 1 species